rnacentral:rRNA from 1 species
AGUCUGGUGCCAGCAGCCGCGGUAAUUCCAGCUCCAAUAGCGUAUACUAAAGUUGUUGCAGUUAAAAAGCUCGUAGUUGAACUUAUGGCGAUUGCAUAAGCUGGCUUCGGUCGUUUAUGUGGUCGUCAUCCGCUUGGGAACUCCGUUCGGUCUUCAUUGGUCGGCGGAAGGAUCAGGCAUUUUACUUUGAAAAAAUAAGAGUGUUCAAGGCAGGCAAUCGCCCUGAAUACAAAAGCAUGGAAUAAUGGAAUAGGACUGUGAUCCAUUUUAUUGGUUAUUGGAUUACAGUAAUGAUUAAUAGGGACAGUUGGGGGCAUUAGUAUUUAAUUGUCAGAGGUGAAAUUCUUGGAUUACUUAAAGACUAACUUAUGCGAAAGCAUUUGCCAAGGAUGUUUUCAUUAAUCAAGAACGAAAGUUAGGGGAUCAAAGACGAUCAGAUACCGUCCUAGUCUUAACUAUAAACUAUGCCGACUAGGGAUUGGCUGGGUCUCUCGAGCCCAGUCAGCACCUCAUGAGAAAUCAAAGUCAUUGGGUUCUGGGGGGAGUAUGGUCGCAAGGCUGAAACUUAAAGGAAUUGACGGAAGGGCACCACCAGGAGUGGAGCCUGCGGCUUAAUUUGACCCAACACGGGGAAACUUACCAGGUCAAGACAUGGGUGGGAUUGACAGAUUGAGAGCUCUUUCUUGAUUCUAUGGGUGGUGGUGCAUGGCCGUUCUUAGUUGGUGGAGUGAUUUGUCUGGUUAAUUCCGUUAACGAACGAGACCUUAACCUGCUAACUAGUUGUGCUAUGAACAAUGGUACUAACUUCUUAGAGGGACUAUACGUUCAAGCGUAUGGAAGUUUGAGGCAAUAACAGGUCAGUGAUGCCCUUAGAUGUCCUGGGCCGCACGCGCGCUACACUGACACAUGCAACAAGUACAACCUGGUCCGACAGGACUCGGGUAAUCUUCAUAGUAUGUGUCGUGCUGGGGAUAGAUCUUUGAAAUUAUAGAUCUUGAACGAGGAAUUCCUAGUAAGCAUAAGUCAUCAACUUGUGCUGAUUACGUCCCUGCCCUUCGUACACACCGCCCGUCGCUCCUACCGAUUGAGGGAUUCGGUGAGCUUUCUGGACUGUUGCGUUCUUCAAGGCCGUGACGGGAAGUUAAGUAAAUCAUAUCUCUUAGAGGAAGGAGAAGUCGUAACAAGGUU